UACGUAGGGUGCGAGCGUUAAUCGGAAUUACUGGGCGUAAAGCGUGCGCAGGCGGUUUUGUAAGCCAGAUGUGAAAUCCCCGGGCUUAACCUGGGAAUGGCAUUUGGGACUGCAAAGCUUGAAUGUGGCAGAGGGGACUGGAAUUCCUGGUGUAGCAGUGAAAUGCGUAGAGAUCAGGAGGAAUACCGAUGGCGAAGGCAGGUCCCUGGGCCGAUACUGACGCUGAGGAGCGAAAGCGUGGGGAGCGAACAGG
rnacentral:rRNA from 1 species